UCCUGUGUUGCAUGCCUAACGUGACGGAAAUUGGCCCCGGAUGAGUCCUAAUUUUUGCCUCUCACCAAUUCGUGGUGUUAGGUUGAUGUGGAAGUACUGCCCAUUCUCCUUGAAUGCUUCGCCCUUUCGCGUUGCAAUCAUGGCCCAUGGGUUGCUACUAGUUCCCUCGGAUGCAGAACCUUUGAUGGGUGCACAGUUUGUCGCUGUUGUUUACCCACAAAGCGUUCAUCGGUCGAUGCGUACGACUGCUGUGCCCGUCUUGGUCCCCUUGGAUGGGUCUCAUGCGGUGCCAGCGUCGCGAAGGAAUGCUACCUGGUUGAUCCUGCCAGUAGUCAUAUGCUUGUCUC
rnacentral:misc_RNA from 1 species